UUGGUGUGAUGGAGUGUGAAUGUGGAGGCUUUAAGGAGAAAUAACCUGAGCUGAGUUUCCACAGAAGAGCUUUCUGUGGAGUUGAGUUGAAACCUGAAGAACUGAGUAGGCAUCAGCCACAGGAGGUCUGCAGAGAGAGCGCGUCAUGCAGAGGUAACAGUUCAUGAACCGGCAAAGGGCUUGGUUACUCCCGGGACAGAGAGGAGGCCAGUGAGGCUGAAGCGUAAUGAGCAAAUGGGAGAGGGAAGUGAGGGAACAGGUUUGACAAAGAAGGAUGAAGUGGGCAGACAUAUCACAGAUUGAAUUUUCAUGGAAGUGCAAUGAGAAGCCAUUAAAAGGUUCUAAGCAAGGGGACAAUAUGACCUGAUUUAUCUUUUUAAAUGACCACUGACUGCUGCGUGAACAACGGAUGGUUUGGAAGCAGGAAGCAAGGACAACAAGUUGGAAGUUAUUGCAGCAAUCCAGCAUGCAUAGCAUUUUCUUCAUAAACAUGCCUUAAGCAGAUGAUCAAGACCAAAAUCAGACUGAUUAUAUUCUUUGCAGCCAAAGAAGGAGAAGCUCUAUACAGUCAGCAAAAACAAGAUCAGGAGCUGACUGUGGCUCAGAUCAUGAACUCCUUAUUGCCAAAUUCAGACUUAAAUUGAAGUAAGUAGGGAAAACCACUAGACCAUUCAGGUAUGACCUAUUCAAAUCCCUUAUGAUUAUACAGUGGAAGUGAAGAAUAGAUUCAAGGGAUUAGAUCUGAUAGACAGAGUGCCUGAGGAACUAUGGAGGGAGGUUUGUGACAUUGUACAGGAGGCAGUGAUCAAGACCAUCCCCAAGAAAAAGAAAUGCAAAAAGGCAAAAUGGUUGUCCGAGAAGGACUUACAAAUAGCUGAGAAAAGAAGGGAAGCUAAAAGCAAAGGAGAAAAGGAAGGAUAUACCCAUCUGAAUGCAGAGUUCCAAAGAAUAUUGAGGAGAGAUAAGAAAGCAUUCCACAUUGAUCAAUGUAAAGAAAUAGAGGAAAACAAUACAAUGGGAAGGACUAGAGAUCUUUUCCCUGGAGGAGGGCAUGGCAACCCACUCCAGUAUUCUUGCCUGGAGAAAACUAUGGAUAGAGAGGCCUGGAGGGCUAUGGUCCAUGGGGUCGCAAAGAGUGGGACAUGACUGAGCAACUUUGCAUGCACACAGAGACCUCUUCAAGAAAAGCACAGAUACCAAGGGAACAUUUCAUGCAAAGAUGGGCACAAUAAAGGACAGGAAUGGUAUGGACCUAAAGGAAGCAGAAGAUAUUAAGAAGAGGUGGCAAGAAUACACAGUAGAACUAUACAAAAAAGACCUUAAUGACCCAGAUAACCACGAUGGUAUAAUCAGUCACCUAGCCAGACAUCCUGGAAUGCGAAGUCAAGUAGCCUUUAGGAAGCAUCAUUACAAACAAAGCUAGUGGAGGUGAUGGAAUUCCAGUUGAGCUAUUUCAAAUCCUAAAAGAUGAUGCUAUGAAAGUGCUACACUCAAUAUGCCAGAAAAUUUGGAUGACUCAGCAGUGGCCACAGGACUGGAAAAGGUCAGUUUUCAUUUCAGUCCCAAAGAAAGACAAUGCCAAAGAAUAUUCAAACUACUGCACAAUUGCACUCAUCUUACACGCUAACAAAGAAAUGCUCAAAAUUCUCCAAGCCAGGCUUCAACAUUACAUGAACUACGAACUUCCAGUGUUCAAGCUGGAUUUAGAAAAGGCAGAGGAACCAGAGAUCUAAUUGCCAACAUCUGUUGGAUCAUUGAAAAAGGAAGAAAAUUCCAGAAAAUAUCUACUUUUGCUUUAUUGACUAUGCCAAAGCCUCUGACUGUGUGGAUCACAACAAACUGUGGAAAAUUCUUCAAGAGAUGGGAAUACCAGAUCACCUGACUUGCCUCCUGAGAAAUCUGUAUGCAGGUCAAGAAGAAACAGACCCAGACAUGGAAAAACAGGCUGGUUCCAAAUUGGGAAAGGAAUACGUCAAGGCUGUAUAUUGUCACCCUGCUUUUUUAACGUGCAUGCAGAGUACAUCAUGAGAAAUGCCGGACUGGAUGAGGCACAAGGUGGAAUCAAGCUUGUCGGGAGAAAUACCAAUAAUCUCAGAUAUGCAGAUGACACCACCCUAUGGCACAAAGCGAAUAACUAAAAAGCCUCUUAAUGAAAGUGAAAGAAGAGAGUUAAAAAGCUGGCUUGAAACUCAACAUUCAAAAAACAAAGAUCGUGUCAUCAGGUCCCAUCACUUCACGGCAAAGAGAUAGGGAAACAAUAGAAACCAUGAAAGACUUUUUUUGGGGGGGCUACAAAAAUCACUGCAGAUGGUGACUGCAGCCAUGAAAUUGAGACACUUUCUCCUUGGAAGAAAAGCUAUGACAACCUGGACAGCAUAUUAAAAAGCAGAGACAUUACUUUGCAGACAAAGGUCUGUCUAGUCAAGCUAUGGGUUUUCCAGUAGUCAUGCAUGGAUGUGAGAUUGGACGAUAAAGAAAGUUGAGUGACAAAGAAUUGAUGUUUUUCAACUGUGGUGUUGGAGAAGACUCAUGAGAGUUCCUUGGAAAACAAAGAGAUCAAACCAGUCAAUCCUGAAGGAAAUCAGUCCUGAAUAUUCUUUGGAAGGAUUGAUGCUGAAGCAGAAACUCCAAUACUUUGGCCACCUGAUGGGAAGAACUGACUCAUUUGAAAGACCCUGAUGCUGGGAAAGAUUGAAUAUAGGUGGAGAAGAGGACGACAGAACAGAGGAUGAGAUGGUUGGAUGGUAUCACCGACUCAGAGAACAUGAAUUUGAGUAAGCUCCAGGAGUUGGUGAUGGACAGGGAAGCCUGGUGUGCUGCAGUCCAUGGGGUCACAAAGAGUCAGACAUGACUGAGCUACUGAACUGAACUGAACUUUCAUUCCUAACCCCUCGAAACCUCUGAUUUAACUAUCAUCCUUUUUACAUAUCAUUUCAAGAGAGUUGUCAGGGACUGGAAUGCAAAACUAGGAAGUCAGGAAACACCUGGAGUAACAGGCAAAUUUGGCCUUGGAGUACAGAAUGAAGCAGGGCAAACACUAAUAGAGUUUUGCAAAGAGAACAUACUGGUCAUAGCAAACAUUUUCUUCCAACAACACAAGAGAAGACUCUACACAUGGACAUCAUCAGAUGGCCAACACAGAAAUCAGAUUGAUUAUAUUCUUUGCAGCCAAAGAUGGCAAAGCUCUAUACAGUCAGCAAAAACAAGAUCGGGAGCUGACUGUGGCUCAGAUCAUGAACUCCUUAAUGCCAAAAUCUGACUUAAAUUGAAGAAAGUAGGGAAAACCAGUAGACGAUUCAGGUAUGACCUAAAUCAAAUCCCUUAUGAUUAUACAAUGGAAGUGAGAAAUAGAUUUAAGGGACUAGUUCUGAUAGAGUGCCUGAUGAACUAUGGACAGUGGUUCGUGACAUUGUACAGGAGAUAGGGAUCAAAAUCAUCCCCAGGAAAAAGGAAAAAAAAAAAAAAAGCUGUCUGAGGAGGCCUUACAAAUAGCUGUGAAAAGAAGAGAAGUUGAAAAGCAAAGGAGAAAAGGAAAGUUACACCCAUUUGAACGCCAAAGAGAGGCAAGGAGAGAUAAGAAAGCCUUUCUCAGUGAUCAACACAAGGAAAUAGAGGAAAACAAUAGAAUGGGAAAGACUAGAGAUCUCUAAAGCCCAUGCAAAGAUGGGCUCAAUAAAGGACAGAAAUGAUAUGGACCUGACAGAAGCAGAAGAUAUUAAGAAGAGGUUGCAAGAAUACACAGAAGAACUGUACACAAAAAUCUUCACGACCCAGUUAAUCACGAUGGUGUGAUCACUACCUAGAGCCAGACAUCCUGGAAUGUGAAGUCUAGUGGGCAUUAGGAAGCAUCACUGCAAACAAAGAUAGUGGAGGUGAUGGAAUUCCAGUUGAGCUAUUUCAAAUCCUAAAAGAUGGUGCUGUGAAAGUGCUGCACUCAAUAUGUCAUCAAAUUUGGAUGACUCAGCAGUGGCCACAGGACUGGAAAAGGUCAGUUUUCAUUCCAAUCCCAAAGAAAGGCAAUGCCAAAGAAUGCUCAAACUACCGCACAAUUGCACUCAUCUCACACGCUAGUAAAGUAAUGCUCAAAAUUCUCCAAGUCAGGCUUCAGCAAUACGUGAACUUCCAGAUGUUCAAGCUGGUUUUAGAAAUAGCAGAGGAACCAGAGAUCAAAUUGCCAACAUCUGCUGGGUCAGUGAAAAAGCAAGAGAGUUCCAGAAAAACAUCUAUUUCUGCUUUAUUGACUGUGCCAAAGAUCUGACCAUGUGGAUCACAAUAAACUGUGGAAAAUUCUCCAAGAGAUGGGAAUACCAGACCACCUGACCCUCUUGAGAAACCUGUAUGCAGGUCAAGAAGCAAUAGUUAGAACUGGACAUGAAACAACAGACUGGUUCCAAAUAGGAAAAGGAGUAUGUCAAGGCUGUAUAUUGUCACCCUGCUUAUUUAACUUAUAUGCAGAGUACAUCAUGAGAAACGCUGGGCUGGAAGAAGCACAAGCUGGAAUCAAGAUUACUGGGAGAAAUAUCAAUCACCUCAGAUAUGCAGAUGAUACCACCCUUAUGGCAGAAGGUGAAGAGGAACUAAAAAGCCUCUUGAUAAAAGUGAAAGAGGAGAGUGAAGAAGUUGGCUUAAAGCUCAACGUUCAGAAAACUAAGAUCAUGGCAUCUGGUCACAUCACUUCAUGGCAAAUAGAUGGGGAAACAGUGGAAACAGUGAGAUACUUUAUUUUUUUGGACUCCAAAGUCACUGCAGAUGGUGAUUGCAGCCAUGAAAUUAAAAAACACUUACUCCUUGGAAGGAAAGUUAUGACCAACCUAGACAGCAUAUUAAAAAGCAGAGACGUUACUUUGCCAACCAAGGUCCGUCUGAUCAAGGCUAUGGUUUUUCCAGUGGUCAUGUAUGGAUGUGAGAUUGGACUAUAAAGAUAGCUGGGUGCCGAAAAAUUGAUGCUUUUGAACUGUGGUGUUGGAGAAGUCUCUUGAGAGUCCCUUGGACUGCAAGGAAAUCCAGCCAGUCCUUCCUAAAGGAGAUCAGUCCUGGGUGUUCAUUGGAAGGUCUAAUGUUGAAGCUGAAACUCCAAUACUUUGGCCACCUGAUGGGAAGAACUGACUCGUUUGAAAGACCCUGAUGCUAGGAAAGAUUGAGGGCAGGAGGAGAAGGGGAUGACAGAGGAUGAGAUGGUUGGAUGGAAUCACCGAUUCAAUGGACAUGAGCUUGGGUAAACUCCAGGAGUUGGUGUUGGACAGGGAGGCCUGGUGUGCUGCAGCUCAUGGGGUCACAAAGAGUCAGACAGGACUGAGUGACUGAACUGAACUGAACUCAAGAGAGUUAUAUAGCUGGGGUCAUAUAGUAUGUGCCUUUUUGAGACUGACUUUUACCGUUAGGUAUAACGUCUUUGAGAUCAAUCCAAGUUGUUGCAUGGAUCAAGAGAUUGUUUCUUUUUACUGCUGAGCACUAUUCCACAGUAUGGAUAUACUGUAAUUUGUUUAGCCAGUCACCUAUUGCAGGACAUUUUGGUUAUUUCUAGUUUUUGACUACUGCAAAUACAAUUGCUAUCGACAACUGUAUACAGGUUUCUAUGUGAACCUAAGUUUUCAUUUCUCAGGUAAAAUUCUCAGUAAUGUGAAUGCUGAGCCAAAUCAUUAGCAUAAGUUUAGUUUUUAUAUCAAUGUAUGACAAAACCC